AUGAUUUGCCCGCACGGGUCCGCCGACCCUCAGCACCGACGUCCGGCAGUCGUCAGCGGAGGGGAUCCGCCUGACGGCGCUGGUAGGCCAGACUUGUCUGGCCAAGAUUGCUUUCGUUUCUUCCUGAUGAAGAAAAAGGAAACGUGUCUGUCCCCCUUGGCCCGUUCUGUUGCCCUCACGUUUGUGAUUACCAAGUAUCCGGGUAAAUCUCCGAUAAAUAUGGGCGCAGUUAAAAACAUCGAUCGUUGUACGUACGUGGCUCUGUGCCUGCCCAUCGAUUCGUUUAGGUCGAUUUUGUUUCUCGAAACCUCUACGCUACAAGUCCGCCGGCCGGCCGCCAUGGUUACCAAGUCCUCCUCGGCGGUGGUAAUUCACUCCGGCGAGCACAUGUUCAAGGUCGUCGGCCACUCCACGAUCACGGGCAAGAUUACGCUUACUUCCGACACUUUCCGCGUUGCUGAUCACGACUGGGCUAUCCUGUACUACCCGAACGGCGACGGUAGGAUCGUCGACGAUCAGUUCAGUUCGGUUUUCCUUAAGCUGGUGAACGCCGGCGAGGAAGAGGUCACGGCCUACUAUUCCUUCUGCCUCCAGGACCCCGCGGCGCCGGCGACAGGGGAGAAGCACAAAUACAAAACCGGCCCCCACAAGUUCUCAUCCACUAAUUGGGCCUUGGGUAAGAGCAAUUUUGUGAGUAAAGCCGAUUUGUCCGGGUGCCUGGACGAUGGCUGCCUAGUGAUCAAGUGCACCGUGGAGGUCCCAAGACCGAUGGACGACCAACAGGAUGGCAACGAUAAUGACAGCGUUAUCGUGCCACCCGCAGACCUAAGCAAAGAUCUAGCUAAUCUUCUAGACAGCCGGCUCAAGGCGGACCUGACCGUCAAGAUCGGCUGGUUCAAGAGAUUCAAGGUGCACGCGUGCGUGCUCGCUGCACGAUCGCCCGUCUUCCGAGCUCAGCUGUGCGGCCCCAUGAUGGAGAGCAGAGAAAGCAGCAUCCGCGUCGAGGACGUGGAUGCCAAGGUCUUCGAGAUCCUGCUGCAUUACAUGUACAAUGAUCGUCUGCCAGAGUUUAUGGACGAGACAACGGAAGAGACCACAAACAUGGCGCAUCAUUUGCUCGUCGCGGCUGAUCGUUACGUAAUGGAGAGGCUAAAACUGAUAUGCGAGAGCAGGCUGGGCAAGGCGCUGGAUAUCAACACGGUGGGGUUCACCUUGGAUCUUGCAGAGCAAUACCAUUGUCACCAGCUCAAGGAUUGCUGUCUGAGGUAUAUGACAAGAAACGGCAAGAGAUUACAAGAAAUUAUAAACAACGAGGGGUUUGCUCAACUAAAGCGAAACCACCCACAGGCCGCAUUCGAUAUUCUUGGACAAGUUAUUGCCUUACUGGCAGCUUAG
rnacentral:rRNA from 1 species